AGUGGAUGAAAUCGAGAACAAAGGCAGGGAUUCUUUGUCACCAGCUAGGUAGUUGUCACACCGUUCUUCACAAGGAUAAAGCAGUUACAUGCAACCUUGCUCAGCGUCAAAUGGGAUUUGUACCAUUAACAGUUUGGGUAAAAUCACAUUCAUGUCGAAUUAUACUGGAAGUGCUUCUUAGAAAACCUGGUGGAUUUGAUGUUCAGCAGUGUUGUGGGAACCCCCCAGCAUAUCAGGAGAAGAACGCUGAGGCAGUAUGUGGCCAGGCACCAGUCCCACUUCAGAUAGAGGACAGGAGGGAUGGUUUGUCAUGGAGUGCCCUGACUAAAAGACAGGUUGAUACAGAUUUUCUGAACUGGAAGAGACACUCGGCAUUCAAAUUAUACAAGACACAUCAUCUAUUACUUUUCAUAAUCUUUAGUUAUUAUUUAAUUGAAUGGUGGGGGCUGCGUAUUCUUCAAACAUGUUAGGGAGCUGUUUAACUGACUUGCCUAGUUAAAUAAAUGUUCAAUCAAAUAAAUGAAAUGAAUAUGGGACACCAUACGAAGGGACGGCAACUAACAUGUACCAACAGACAAAAUGCUGAUAGGUACCCCCCCCCCUUUCAACUCGGACAAAGACAUUGAAAACUAAUCUGGAUUUGUAAAUUAGGUAGCUAGCUACUUUUAUGAGAACAGGUAUGUUGUUUGGGUCAGUACUUGACCAAUAAUUAACAUAAACACAUUUAGCAUCUCCUGGCUUCCACACAUAGCCUACAAGCCUCUGAU